ACUUAAAUAGCUUAUGUAAAGAGUAUGAUAUUGAAGCUGUCAGGGAGAUGUUUAUCUUUAAGUG
rnacentral:tRNA from 1 species